AGCAGUCGCCACGGUAAUACAGAGGGUGCGAGCGUUAAUCGGAUUUACUGGGCGUAAAGCGUGCGUAGGCGGCUAAUUGAGUCGGAUGUGAAAUCCCCGAGCUUAACUUGGGAAUUGCAUUCGAUACUGGUUAGCUAGAGUGUGGGAGAGGAUGGUAGAAUUCCAGGUGUAGCGGUGAAAUGCGUAGAGAUCUGGAGGAAUACCGAUGGCGAAGGCAGCCAUCUGGCCUAACACUGACGCUGAGGUACGAAAGCAUGGGGAGCAAACAGGAUUAGAGACCCCAGUAGUCCCUGUCUCUUAUAU
rnacentral:rRNA from 1 species